GGCUCCAAAAUUGGAGCACUUCGUUUACACCGAAGGGGCUGGGGGUUCGAGUCCCUCACCGCCCA
rnacentral:tRNA from 1 species